UACAAUUUUCCAAAAAGUGAAAGGUUUACCGAAAAUCAGUAUGAAACAAAAUGUCGAUUUUUCUUUCCAUGAUGGCAUCGUUUAGCAAUUUAUAUCUCUUGUUGAGUUUUCUGAUGUGGAUCCCGUUCGGUGGAAGUCUCGAAGGACAAAAUGUUUGUAAAAGAGUUAUAGUGGCAACAGAUGCAAACAAUAGAGUUGUAUAUCUCCGUGAAUUUUUCUGUUGUACUGGAUAUAAAAAAGAAAAUAACAGAUGUGUUGAGAUUACAGAAUCUAUCC